rnacentral:rRNA from 1 species
AUUGAACGCUGGCGGCAUGCCUUACACAUGCAAGUCGAACGGCAGCGCGGGAGCAAUCCUGGCGGCGAGUGGCGAACGGGUGAGUAAUAUAUCGGAACGUGCCCAGUAGUGGGGGAUAGCCCGGCGAAAGCCGGAUUAAUACCGCAUGAGACCUGAGGGUGAAAGCGGGGGAUCGCAAGACCUCGCGCUACUGGAGCGGCCGAUAUCAGAUUAGCUAGUUGGUGGGGUAAAGGCCUACCAAGGCAACGAUCUGUAGUUGGUCUGAGAGGACGACCAGCCACACUGGGACUGAGACACGGCCCAGACUCCUACGGGAGGCAGCAGUGGGGAAUUUUGGACAAUGGGCGCAAGCCUGAUCCAGCAAUGCCGCGUGCAGGAAGAAGGCCCUUCGGGUUGGUAAACUGCUUUGUCUGGGAAUAAAAAGUAGGGGUUACGUCCCUACCUU